GUAUAAUCUUUCUUCGAGCGAGCGUGAUAUCGUAAACGCGCGGCGUAUAAAGCAUAUCGCCCGGCUGGGUUACAUAAUGCGCGAACGUAAAUAGAGGCAUAAUUCAAAAUUGCAUAAGACGGCAAGUUACGAUCCUAUAACUCCUGUAGUGAAGUGAUUGCAUCCCGCCGAUACGCGUUCGUCCUGAUAAAUAUCUAAAAGUUGUACCACAAUGCCAGAUGGGACCACUUGAAUCGAACAUGACGAAAGAUUUGCCGAUACGCUCCUUUUCGUUUACACUACGAAAGGAUGCACUCUCGGCGGAUACUGCAAGAAAUAACAUAGCCUUCGGAAGACUCGAGGAGACGCAUCGUGUCAACAGUACGAUCGCGGGUCACCGGCGUGUUGUUCGUUUCGGAGCGAAAACGUGUAACGAGUUAACGUCUAUUCCCCGUGGUACACCUGGAAAAUAAACUAGGCCGCGCGCUAUCCACCUGCUUGUCAAAACUUUCGUCGGUGUGUGUCCCGUUGCAUACAUUUGGCAGCGUGAUUGCCCUGCGGGCCCUGACACUGACGACACCCAGUGCCAAUAACGUGCUUUUAAGCGGGUUAAGGCAAUUUGCAUCGGAGUGACCAUGCGCACCUGAAAUAGGUCGCUCUGCCAUCCGUCCGCGGAACCUGAUGAUUUUUUACGGGAACAACUUCGUCGGCCGCGAGCGGUCGGCGUUUGCAUACAAACCAUGGGCGGAGGCUAGAAAUAUCCCAGAACCGAGUUCGACUUGAAACUUCAUGAAUAUGUGAAAGUACUUGCACGCCGGUGCUAUACGUAGGCCCAUGAAAGUUUUAAUCAGACGCGUGACACUUGAUAUUGGGCCGCGCAUUGCCGAAAGACCCUGUGGUAGUUGGCUGUUUAAUGUUUAAUGUUUAAUCUACUUAGACACUAGUGACGAAGCGACACACGAUCAACUUUGUCCCGUCAAUCGAAUAAAACUGUAACUGCGAACCUAUCCAUAUCGAUUGGAUCUAACUGAAUUAUUAAACGUAGGCACAGCUUGCAGUCAAAGUCCGACGGAUUGAGCGGUUGGGACGCCCAUUGUCCUUCUUCGUGAUUAAUACGUCAGAAUAUGCUAGUUAUACGAAAGCCAGGGUUACAUUUAUGUAAUAAGGAAAAGCGAUCGAUUUCAGCUGAGUCCAAGUUCGACCUAGUUUCAAGUUAAUUGCCAACAAGACAUAAACAAAUAUUUCUAAUACCCAUUAAUGUAAUUAGCUAUAAGAAUAAGAUAAAACUUUCUGUAGAUAUUAUCCCAAUGUUGCGAUACACGUUGAGUCUUAUUAAGGGUCUACAGAGUUGUUAAUUUCUCCGAGAAGAAUGUACAUCAAAGUUAGGUAAAAUGAAAAAAUUGACUUGAUCACGAUUUCUUAUUUAAUCGUGUCAAUUGUGAGGUAGUAACUCGCAAGGACGGCAGGAAGAAAAGGGAAUUCUAAGGCUGUCGCUGAGCGCACCGCGAUCUCUCUCCCGUCUCUUACUGACAAAUCGGGGAGAUAGGUUACCCACCGAGGGAAAUGGAAGGGAAAGCUUUUGGAAGAAUUACGAGAGGCGAACGAUGUCGCGGACAGAGACACGCCGUGUCGAUAUCUCUUGUACCCGAGAUAAGAAUGUCCUCCGUCGAGCGCGCAUGGGGCACGAAUGAAAAUGGAUCGGUCGCGGAGAAUCCACGUGUACGGAGACGAAUCUGCCUAACGAGAUGCACUCGCCAACAUUUUCGAAAACAUUUGAAUGUCUGAGACGGAUUUAUUGCACGCUUACGCGUCUCAGAUUACGUCGCGUGCUUCUGGCUUGAAUUAAAAUAGGGAACGACGCAAUAUCACUUUGAAGAGAUCUUAUAAUUUACUGGGACCCGUCGAGCGCUUCUGCCUUCAUCCAGCGGCUUGAUUUUUCUUAACAAGUAUGAGAAAGAGAGAAAAAGAGGGAGAGCGAGGGAGACACUUUUCAUUGCGGAUUUUUUAUCUCGGAAUGAAGUUGCUCGACUGAAAAAAAAGGGGAUAAAAAUAUUAAAUCCAGUGCGGGAUAAUCGGGAUGUGUCGCAAGAUACUCGCAAGCGGAUUCGUACUUUGAAGAUGACACUUCUUGCAAAAGCGUUUUUCGCAACCGCGUGAGGCGCGAGGCGUUAUCCUCGACGAGGGUGGAAUGAAAUUUUGCCGGUUCGAAAAGCGCGAGCGGAGCAACGUUCCCGGUGACAGAAGUUUUCAGGCUUGGCGGAGGAACAAGUGAAAAUAUCUGAGAUGCCCGCAAGUUCCGCGGCAAGUUAUGGCAGCUUUUUUCUGUGGUGGACGUCAACGCGGAGAGGUGGUUUGUUACUAUCUCUGGCGCUCCCGGACGAAUUUCUGCCGGGAGAAGGAACAGGUGGAGGACGAAGAAUAAUGCUCUCUUCGUGGGUAGCUGCACCUCCUUGUGCCGCCAAUUCGCCAAGAUUGAAUUGUCUGCCCGACGGAGUGACUUGUCGUUACGCGGCUUACACCGGCGACGAGCUUGCGACUUCCAUCUGCGCGAUGAAAAAUCUUGGCGGCGCUGCACGUUCAGCAAAGCGCUCGUAACGAAAGAGACAUGCCAGGACUUAGCUUCGUAACCCCGAAUGCAAUUUUUUAGUAAUAAGUUCGAAAACGUCGCUAAUCCGACAAAAUGAGCCUACUAGUACAACGAAUCGUGGUUUCUUAUUUAAAUGAAUUUAUCUGCUUUCUUCUCUCACGUGUGUCUUCUCUUUAUGUAAUUAUGUAUCAAUAAAAACUGUAAAGUCUAAAAGAAGCUCUGAUUCAUUAUUCCCAAAGCUUGGCGAAAAUGCGAUGCCAUUUUAUAUUCCAUCCCAACUCUAUUAAGACUGAUUUAUAAACAAUUAUGUAUUGAAAAGCGCAGGGGAGCGCGUAUUUACUUC